UGGGGAAUUUUCCGCAAUGGGCGAAAGCCUGACGGAGCAAUACCGCGUGAGGGAGGAAGGCUUUUGGGUUGUAAGCCUCUUUUCUCAAGGAAGAAGAUCUGACGGUACUUGAGGAAUCAGCAUCGGCUAACUCCGUGCCAGCAGCCGCGGUAAUACGGAGGAUGCAAGCGUUAUCCGGAAUGAUUGGGCGUAAAGCGUCUGCAGGUGGCUAUGCAAGUCUGCUGUUAAAGAGUGGAGCUCAACUCCAUAAGGGCAGUGGAAACUGCGUAACUAGAGUACGUUCGGGGUAGAGGGAGUUCCUGGUGUAGCGGUGAAAUGCGUAGAUAUCAGGAAGAACACCGGUGGCGAAAGCGGCUCUCUGGCCCGGUUCUGACGCUGAGGCGCGAAAGCGUGGGGAGCAAACAGGAUUAGAUACCCCCGUAGUCC
rnacentral:rRNA from 1 species